GCCCAUGUAGCCUAAGGGUAAGGCACAAUGAUUCAGGAUAUUGGGGGCAAUGUUCUGACGCGUUGAAGAUGGUGGUUCGACCCCACCUUUGGGCA
rnacentral:tRNA from 1 species